UGGUCAAGUUAUUAAGGGUGCAGGGCGGAUGCCUUGGCACUAGGAGCCGAUGAAGGACGUGAUAAGCUGCGAUAAGCUUCGGGGAGUUGCACGUAAACUUUGAUCCGAAGAUUUCCGAAUGAGGAAACUCACUUAGAGUAAUGUCUAAGUAUCAUUAAGUGAAUACAUAGCUUAAUGAGGGGAACUCAGGGAACUGAAACAUCUAAGUACCUGAAGGAAGAGAAAGAAAUUCGAUUCCGUAAGUAGCGGCGAGCGAACGCGGAUUAGCCCAAACCAAUAAAGUUUUCUUUAUUGGGGUUGCGGACAUAUCAUAACGAAGAGGUAUCGUAAUUGAAGAGGUUUGGAAAGACCCACCACAGAAGGUAAUAGUCCUGUAUGUUAAACGAGAAGACUUUAGAUAUGAUCCAGAGUACCACGGGACACGUGAAACCCUGUGGGAAGCAGGAGGGACCACCCUCCAAGGCUAAAUACUACCUAGUGACCGAUAGCGUAUAGUACCGUGAGGGAAAGGUGAAAAGAACCCCGGGAGGGGAGUGAAAUAGAACCUGAAACCCUGCACUUACAAGCUGUGGAAGCACAUUUCUUGUGUGACCGCGUACUUUUUGUAGAACGGGCCAACGAGUUACGU
rnacentral:rRNA from 1 species